rnacentral:rRNA from 1 species
GACGAACGCUGGCGGCACGCUUAACACAUGCAAGUCGAACGGAGUUAUUCGGAGCUUGCUCUGAAUAACUUAGUGGCGGACGGGUGAGUAACACGUGAGCAACCUGCCUUUGAGAGUGGGAUAGCUUCUGGAAACGGAUGGUAAUACCGCAUAACAUUACGGAACCGCAUGAUUCUGUAAUCAAAGAUUUAUCGCUCAAAGAUGGGCUCGCGGCUGAUUAGAUAGUUGGUGGGGUAACGGCCUACCAAGUCGACGAUCAGUAGCCGGACUGAGAGGUUGAACGGCCACAUUGGGACUGAGACACGGCCCAGACUCC